ACUUCGGGAUUCAACAAAGACAUCCAGCCUUGUGGACCUAAUAACUGGAUUACUAGGCUUUUUCUCAGGAGACAGCCAUUGUUGGAAUAGUUGGACCAUAGCUACUCCAAUCAAUCCUAUAAAUGUAUGUGCACACACACACACACACAUACAGAUGAUAGCCAGUCUUUCUCUCCCUCUCCGCCCCCCUCAUUCUAUCAGAACCCUGACUAAUAGACAUCAUGGUUUUUCAUGUGGCCGCGGUAUGGCCCUUAUCACUUUGUGUGAAUGUGACUUAGGAAUGUCUGAUCACCGUAAGUUGAAGGGAGCUUUCUCAGUUCAAGGGCAGAACAAAUGUCCCUGCCCUCAGUCCUUGAAGAAGAUCCUUACUUGCUGUUGGGCUGGAUGAUGGGCAAGCCCGAGAGGGACUUGGUGUGGAACGGUAGGGUCUCUGUGAUGCCAGCCAUAGCAGCAGGAGUCCCAGCAAGGGGGUGAUCUCCCUCACUGGGGCUCUUAACAACUACACGACUGAAGAAACAAAGUCACACAACCAGAGUCAAGCUUUCAUCUGCACUCUGCUCAUCCGUGCCUCCAAUGUCCCCUGGCUAAGAUCAUAGGAACAGAAAGCGACCAUGUCCAAACAGGCACGAGGUGCUAAGAAACUUUACCUUCUUCCUGAGUAACCUGAGAGAUGUUGGACUUCUAACCAAACUCUCCAGACUCCAGCUUUUACGAAGAAGCCUGUGGUGGCCACGCUGCUACCCGAGGACUCUAUGGAUUCCACCUUGUUGAAUCACAGUUCUGACUGGCUUCACCUCUGGGGCUUUACACAGCAUAGCCUGGCUGGGGUCCAGUGUAGAUUCUGAAGCAGAGCCCUGUGGGACCCACACUUUACAAAGGAUGACCUGUGCCAUCACUUGCAUGCCCCCGAGGGCUGACCAUCAUAUUUCCAGCAUGUAGAGAGUAGCCGCAGGGUGGGACGCCCACGUCAAUUCAUCUCAUUAGAUUCUUCCCUGAACACUAGAGUUCCCAGAACUCCCUAGAGUACAGAUGACUCCAAACACAUCGUCCCAAGAAAAACCCAUGUGUGGGAAUUACAUAGCCUUCACUUAAUAAAAUCUCACCUUUGCGUGCACGACUCAAGGCAAGGGCUGAGGUAUGAUGAACUUAGUAACUUAUAGUUAACUCAACUAUAUUUUGGAAAACAAAGUUCUCUUCUUGUUUUCUUUCUUUCUUUCUUUCUUUCUUUCUUUCUUUCUUUCUUUCUUUCUUUUUUUUUGAACACAGUGUUUCAUAUACCUCAGGCAUGCAGGCCUUGAAUUUACUAUAUAGCUGAGAAUGGUCCUCACACCUGCAGGGGGGACAGACGUGCAAGAAAGUCCCUCUUCUUAUCCCCUUCAAACCAGGACUAUGAGGGGCAGGCUGGAAGGAAACGGCUCGUGCAGUUUUCCGCAAGGGGAAUCUGUAUUUGUCACAGUGUUAGGGUGCUAAUCCAACCGAAGCUGUGAUCAGCAGCAGUGCGAAUACUAACCCAGCCUCUCUCUGUGCUCUAAUUGUGAGGGACCUCACAGCAUAUGAGUAUUUGCUCUGUCACCAGAGAAAAACUCCAGAAGGAGAAAUAGGUCCUUGGCCAUUCAUCAAUACAGCUGCAGCUCCCCAGGGCAAUGUGACCCCAGGAUCUCCCCUUGCAAUGUCUGCACCCCCGACCCCUCCAUGCAGGAAAGAGAAAUUCUCAAGCCCGUGACACUUUCAUUUGAAGGUGGGGUUUCUUCUUUCCUGUCCAUCUUCCUCCUUGCUCCUCUUAAAGUUCUACUUCCCCAAGCCCCGAGACACGUACUUUUAUGUCUGUCUUUUACAGACACAGAAAGAAGCCCAGAGUGUGGCACUAACUCUGCCAGGGCUACAUGGCUGAUAACCAGAGUGACAGAGAGACAGGCCUCCUCCAGUCAGGGCUUUCAACCGGUACUACAUUUUGGAAAACAAAAUUCACUCCGUGAUUAAAAAUAAGUAUUUUUGAGACAGGGUCUUAUCCCAGCUUACCCAGUCUUGAACCCACCAUGUGGCUAACUGCAAGUUUGUUUCCAUUGAUCUCUGUCAUUCCAGGACAGAAUGUGCGAAGGUCAGGGAGCGUGUGGGGUAAGAACUCAGCUUUGCUACGGGCCCGGCAGAAGGUACUAGUCGUCUGUGCGAAGCAGGGAGCUGCUGUCUCUAAAGAGCAUAGGCAAUGGCUUCACUAAUUAUUAUAAUUAACCUUCCGCAUCUGCCCGAGUGAUGCUGUUCAAUGUGAUUUUGAUAUUUUAAAGAAAGCACUCACAGUUCCAUAAAUGUCAUAAAUGAGCCUAAGCUGGUGACACAAAAAUGUUUCCAUGAAUCCCCCCCCCCUUUUUUUGCAACUUCAUAAAUUUUAGGAUGUCACUAAGUCCUGUUUGGUGGAGUCUGUUUCUUUAUAAACCUGUGACAGCAUUAGGAACCAGGAAUGGCACCAUAAAAAGAAAGCAAUCCAUUUCCCUGGGGGGAAAAAAAAAGCGCGGCAGGCCCACACAUGGGGGGACAGGCCACUCACAUCUGCAUGACUGCCUGAAGCUUUGCGCUGGUGGCCUGAGGGACUUUCUCCAUCGCUUGGCCACAUAUUUUGCUGCAAAACCUGAAAUCUUCCCUUUUCGUUUUAAGCUGUGGUCCUCCAAGACCGUAAGGGCAGGAGCUGCAGCUGAGUCUUCACAGAAAGGCCUUGCUGUCUCUCCCAGACCUGAGAAGGCUACACACACAGUAACAACUUAAAUAACAUGUCGUCACUGUCACCAUCAUAGUGGUGUAAAAAAUGACUUAGAAAAAGCUGCAGCACUUCUCCCUCUGCGCAAGCAUUCAUUUCACCUCCUGGGACUCACUGUGCACCAGGCCACAGGGAAGUUGGUAUUUACCGAUCCAUAGCCAGGAGGUGGUAUUAAGCCCCAACUCUUGAGGCGCCUCCACAGGAAGGGAGGAAGAGUCGUCUCCUGACUCAAGAGCUGGGGAGAUCAGUGAGAGAUAAGACAGAGUAACAGCACAUCCAGAGGAGUUGACAGUGCUGGCUAGAUGCUGGGAACCCUGGGAGGCAAGGGCUUACAGUACACAUUACUACAUCUUUAGCAUACACGCAAGGGCCAGCCUGGCACAGCUGUCCAGCAAAGUGAUGGGCGGGCGAGUGGGUGGAUGGGUGUGUGUGUGGGUGGGUACAUGGAUGGGGAGCUGAGGGGACAGAUGGCUGGGUACCUGGAUGAGUGGAUGGAUAGAUAGAUAGGUGGUUAGAUAGAUGGGUAGAUGGCUAACUACAUGGCUGGCUUAGUGGGUGGGUGGAUAAAGAGGCCAAGUAGGUGGAUAGAGUGACAGAGAGACAGGUAGGCAGGUGGAUGGAAAGACAGAUGGGUGGAGAGACUGAAAGACAGAGAGACAGGCAGCCAGGUGGAUAAAUGGAUGGACAGACAGACAGGUGGACAGACUGACAGAUAGGCAGGUAGGUGGAUGGAUAAAUAGAUGGAUGGAUGGAUGGAUGGAUGGAUGGAUGGAUGGAUGGAUAUGCUGACAGACAGACAAGCAGGAAGGCAGGUGGAUGAAUGGAAAGACAGGUGGGUAGACUGACAGAGAGACACAGGCAGGCAGGUGAAUGGCUGAAUGGACAUAUGGGUGGAGGACUGAUACAAGAGUGGGUAGAUGGGCAGAAGGCAAGCUGAUUGAAAGGAUGAAAGCUAAGGGCAGAAAAAGAACACAGUGGCUAUUAGCAAUUUCUUAAAAAUUAUUCCUGGGCCAGUAAGGUGGCUAGGUAGGUAAAACUUUUGGUGUGCAAGCCUAUGGUCCACAGUUAGAUCCCAGAAGCACGAAAGAAGAGAACCAACUCCCAAAGCUUGUCUUUCAGGCCACUGGAUGUGUGUUGUGGCCUGCAUGAAACACCCCUCCCCCUCCCCCUUCAUCCCUCUCUCCCUCCUUCCCUCUUGAAUUCUUAAAAAGAAGAGUUCCUCAAAUGGGCUAAGAAAGGGUGCAGGCCUUGUUAGUGAGCACUGUUGAAAUGUUGUUGAGAAGAACCUGGCAGAGAUGCUCACUGCAAGGAGUUUCUCCACCCUGCUGGGGCUGAUCUUUUUCACCAGGAUUGACCAUAUGGCUUCACACUCAAGCAAAGCCACAGAGUACCAUGCAGAGCACUGCAGUGAUGCUACCAAGUAAGAUGUGGGCCCAACUCUUCAAAGUGGGUAAUUGGAAAAAUCCAGCCCGGAAGGGGACUCACUAAAACUGUUCAUGAUGACAAGUCUGCUGGGGAUUGCCCAUUAUCUGAUGUGUGUGUUUUUGAUAUUUUGUGUAACAGAUACCUAUAUUUUAAAUAUUUGAUUAGUGUGGUGCUGGGGCAGGACCGGGGACACUGUGCAUCCUAGGGAAGUGCUCUGCUCUGAGCACAGCCCCCAACCCUCUCUCUGUACUCUGAAGCUCCCUGUGCACACUAGGCAAGUGCUCUAUUGAGCCACAUUCCGAGUCUUCAAGUAUCUCUUUCCUACUAAGAAAACAUUUUCUUUUUUCCUAGUUUGAGAAGAUUCUGUGUCAGAUUAGCAAAAGUGUAGCCAUUCCCCCCACCCCUCCUGUGAGUCCUGUACGUGGGCACCUGGUAGAAAAUAUUUUGAAGGGAACACAUCAGGACUUUUAUUUCAUAGGUUCAUCCCCUUCACCAAGGCACCAGGACUAUACACCAACCACACUGACACUUAGUAUUAAAGGAGAUCGAGAUGGGCAGCCGGAACACAAUCACUUACACGAGGCUUUGAACAUUCUUAUUCUACACCCUGGGAAGGAUGAGAUCUCAGAACCUCCCCUGACCCGGAUCAAGUGGCAGAUGAUAGCACAAAAGAAUCCGAUCAGAAUCACCCACAGCUAAAUCACAGAUCCAACGGGAAUUAUGAACUAGGAGCAAUGUCAGAGGGGUUCUGUCCAAAGUGAGGUGAGUCUCAGUCUGUGGGUUGAUGUGCAGAUGCCGAGGCAGAGGGAUGACCAGUUUGAAGUUGGCCUAGGCUACAGACAGAGACAGUCUUACAAACACAUGCUUGGUUAAUCUCUUCCCAGCCACGUAUAUACACAGACGACAGCUGACUCUCUCAGACAGAUGCCUUCUCCUGCCCCAAUCCAGCCCAGGUUGACCCCAAGUUUUGCUAGGCCCUUGCCAAGCCCUGGGGCAGCCCCUGAUUGCAGAGCAAACAGUGGGCAUCUGUUUCCCCGGCUGUGGAGAGGAACAGCCGUACAACUUAAAUCACAUUAAAUAAGCCAGUGGCCCCUCGUGGGCGCCGUGGCACAAUCCUGACUCCGUACAAUGCCUCCGAUUUUGCUACUUCAGCUAAAUCAUUUCUCAGUCCCUUCUUGGGAGUCUGUAAAUGUCGCCAUCUGGGACUGUAAACAUUAAAAUAAGAAGCCAUAAAAAAUAUCAGUAAACCAAUUAAAAGCUCAAGCAGCAGAAACCUCCCUUCGCAUUACAUCUGAAGCACAACAGCAGACCUCCCCCACCCCCUCCCCCACCCCCACCCCCACCCCCGAGCUAAGUCAGCAUCCUGGAUCCGCAGUUUCCAAAGAUUUUUUUAUUUCUUACUUCUCACAAGAACUCAUGAGCACCCACCUGGAGCCCAGGCAGGCUGGAAACCGUUUCAACACUCAGCCAUGGAGCAGGAAAGAUGGGGAGACUCCCCUGCCUUUGACCCCAGAGAGCAAAUGUCAUCAAUUAUGUACUGUGAAAUCAGAAUAACUCCUUAGAAACUGGACCAUCAAGGGGGAAAACUAAAUUUAAACCAUAGCCGGGAACUCACCAAUACCCACGAAAAUCAAACCUGGAAAGAUACGAACUGUUGUUCACAAAUCACAAAGAGGGGAAUCUGCCUGUGGUGACCGGGGUUUUGUGGCAUAAAAGCUCUCCCGCUGAGUUAUUCAAGCCACACUAUCGCCCUAGGAAGAAGUGAAGCACUCUAAGGAAGAGGGCACCAUACCUGCACACGUGACAUUUAGGAUAAGUGGAGAAGAGAGGAUGAAGGAGGAGGAGGAGGAGGAAGGAAGAGCUGGAAGGCUAAGAUGGCUUGGGGCAGAAAGCACAGGUAGGUAGAACAGAGGCACACUGGGGUGGGGAGUAAAGAGGAAAGGGGACGAGGGUCACUGGACUGAGACUGCAGUUCCUGCCCCAUGCAAUGGGGAGUAAAGACGCACUGCCAGCUGCACUCAUCGCCAUAAGCCGUUGGCAGCACUCCAGAUGGGAGAAUAGGUAAAGGUCCCAGGAUGCCUUGGCUUGGGCAAACGGCUGGAAGGCACAUGCUAGUACCACAAGCCAGGCUCCCCCAAGAAGCCAGUCUGCUGAAGGUACCAUACCAGCCAGUGUGACCGUGGCGACUGGCGGGGCUGGUGAGAGGAGCUAGUUCACCUGCUGGAUGCCUGGCCUAGGGUGCAAGCAGCUUGUCCCAGUUGGGUGGAGAUCUUGCCGGGGUGACCUCGCUUGCUUUGGGGACUGUUUUAUUCUCCCCAGUUCAUUUGGGAGUUUGUUUAUCCUUUCAUUUCCUAGUUUGAUUUCCUUUUAAUAAAGCUCUAAUCUUAUCUUGGCUCACCCCAUGGGAAAAGGGAUUAGUCACAGUGUGGCCAGCAGGAGGGGAGAAGGAAGGGCUGGAGCCAUAGAGACUCAGGCCUAGCAGAGUGUAGAAGCACCUCCAGAAUUUAGGAGGACAGACAGCAAAUUCAGGAAUGACCGUGGUGUUACACCCUCUGUGGUUACUUCUUCCUCAGUCCAAGGCCACGCUUCCAACACAAGUAGCUUCCUCCCAGAUGAAACCUGAGGCCAGAGCUCCAGGCCCAGCCCAGUGCCCUGACUCUGAGUUGGGCACAUGCAGUCACUUCUCAGGCCCGGGUUUCCUCACUGGGAUGAGAGGGAUGCAAACCAACAUGACCUUGAGGAUCACUGCAAGUUCAGUCUGGAAUGCACAGAUGGAGGUCAAGGUAUCGGUAGCACUUGAGCCUGGGCAGAUGGCAGACCUAACUCUGCUCCUACUGCUGAAGUCAUCGUGGUACCCACGGGUCACUUUGUGGCACCUUGUACAGCAGGCACAGCCUUUGGAUCACAGAUUUGACAUCUGAAGAUGCCACCAUUUGUAGAUGGAAAUGCCUGUGCUAGAACUGCAUCUGUACCCAGGACAUCUGAAUUGUUUCUGCUGCUUAUUUCCUGAACAGUGGGUGCUGUUAACACUGUGGUCAUGUUCACAUUGUACUAUGUGUUCUGACCUGGUUUCCGCACGCACACAGAAUGUGCGUUGGUUACACAGAUAGAGUACUCUUUCAUGCAAGGAACUUGAGCAUCUGCAGACAUUAGAGCCUGUAGCCAGGCCCCCUAUGGCUACCCAGAGGUGUGAGUACAUUGCAUCUGCACAUGAGCACACACACACAAAGCCAAAAAGCUUUAAAAGACAAUACUUUUAUCUUUGCACAUAUGAUGUCUCUGAUGUUUCUCUUGUGUGUGCAUAUGUGUUUGUGGAUACAUGUUUGUGUGUGUACAGGAUUGUGUCUGUGUGAAUGGGGGAAGUGGAGGUUGGAGGACAACCUGGAGUGCUAUUCCUUGGCAUUAUCUGUCUUGCUUUUUGAGACUGUCUCGCUGGGCUGGAGCUCACCAAUAGAAGGGGCUGGAAGGCCAGGGAACGCACCUCCCACCCUCGGAUCCUCGUACCUUGAUUUCCCCAGUGCCAGAGUCACACACCUGCACCGUCAUGCUGGCUUUUUAAAACUGUGGGUCCAAUAUCCUCUACUCCUGGAGGCCCUAGGGUCCUCCAUCUGGGAAAUGGGAUCUUCAUGACAAAGAAUCGUAAACACGUGUCACUUCUUGGUAAAUAAUAAGCCCUCAGCGUGCAUAAACUAUAACAGCAUUGUUAAACUAAGUUGAGGCUGGCCCUGAGUUCACCUGCCAGGCAUGGGAGCCACCUGGUGGGAAGCAUGGAUAAGCUGGUGUCAGCAAGGGCUGGUGCUGAAGCCCAGGGAACCUGUGCCCCAUCAGCUGCCAUCACCAAGAUUGCCAAGCCACAUCGACACAGGGGCUUCCCUUCCCCCUCUUAGACAAAACUGGAACUAGAUAUGAACCCUAGUGAGAGUGGAAAGUAGGGAACCAUAAAAUUUGCCAGUGUGGCCACAGACAGGCCCUACAGAGACAUCAGUCACAUAUCAGGAGCCUUGAGCCAUCCACGCCGGCGUUUUUAGUCUGUUUACACAGCUCAGUUCACAUUUCCUCUCUGCCUGUGUGCUGAUGCAGACAGACAGACAGACAGACAGACAGACACACACACACACACACACACACACACACACACACACCCCUCACAUCCUGCUGGCCCCAUGCUGUCCCGGCCCCGCAGAUGUCAUCGAAUGCUGCCGUCUACCUGUAGCCUGCAAGCCUGACGGACUCCCAGUCCUGUCCCUCCCAUCCUUCACUGGAUGAAGGAAACACAGAUGGAUCCAGGCCACACAAGCAGCCCCCGAGAUGAGCGAUCCCUCCCUCUCUCGGGAGAGCUGUACUUUGUGUGGCAGCAAGAGCAUGAGGGUCUCCAGGUGUAUACUGGGUUGAAGACAAACUGUGAACCCCAGAGGCAAGAAGCAGAUUCGACCCAAGCUAUGUGAAAAGAUGGGGUGUAUACACUCAACACCAGGACGUCUGUAAAUGGUCAAGUGGGAAAGAGGCUCUUGACCCCCCGGAAACUGUAAAAGCAAAGGAGCACAGGAGCCCAAGACAGACAUGAGGACAACACACAGCCCAGGGCACCAUGUAAGCUACCUGUGGUUGCCAGAACAGCUCUCAGCUCUCCUUAAAGAGCUCUGGGUCCUGGAGAAUUACAGUCAGACUGCUCCAUGUCCUUUUCUUCUUCCCCCAGCUGUCAUCCAGUCCGAUGGCCAUCUGUACAUGACAACUCGUGGUGCUCAAGAAGCAGCCAUGUAGCUAACCCAAAACCUCCGGCGCAGCUAUCGCUCACAGACAGCUGCUACAUGUCUGCUGAGUGCCUGUGUGGCACCAGGGAUUCCAAGGACUGUGUCACCAAGACAGGAGUGGCCCUGCCCUCCCAGGUUUAUGAGGGAAGACAUGGAAAUGGCUGGCAUGCCUUCAUAAUCUCUCACUCCUGGAUUAGGCAGGUAAACCCCUUGAGGGCAGAGGUGUGAGCCUUGAAAGGUAUCCCUGUGGUGCUGAGGAUGCUUUGUAUAGACGGAGUGGCCAGAUGUAUAGACGGAGUGGCCAGAUGUAUAGACAGGGCCAUCUAGAGUUGCAUCUGAGACUCUUAUGGUGUCAAAAAUAAAGAAACCUUUAAAAAAAAAGUCAAACACAAUAAGGAGAAUGCAUUGUUCUCAGCUCUUCUUUCCAGUAUUGGAUAAACUUCACUUCAUCGUAUAUUCACAGAAUAAUGUGUGCCUUCCUUUAAUUGCUUCGUUGAAGGCAGUAAAGUCAUCACGAAUUAUUGCCCCAAAUGGAAUCAUGAGGCAGCGUCAGCCAGUGUUCACAUCACAGGAGAGGCUCAGUGUGACCCCUAGAGAGACCAGAGGAAAGCCGCCCACCUCCCUGUGCUGUGGCUGUCUGAGCCAUCUGUGAAUCACACUCAGGUAAAGGAGGCCUGUUCCCCCGUCCACAAGCACACUCUGAAAAGUGGGGCGCAGCUUUGACCCUCCUCAGCAAGUCUCCAGCAGGGACCACAUCCAGCUGCCCACACUGCCCAGUGUGGGAGGUGGCUUCUAAUACCAGG